rnacentral:piRNA from 1 species
AGGGGCUGGAGAGAUAGCUCAGGGGUUAAG